UGAGUGUUGCAGUCUCGCAAGAGAUCCUGCUCAUUCGUAAUGCAUUAGCAUCUCAAUUUCGUAAUCGGAUUGACUCAGCGUAAUAGACUAUUCGCUGAGGACACCUCACGGUGGCCGAGAAUGAAGAGUAGAAGCUUCCAACCCCUCUAGUCAACUUUAGAUUAGACCUCAAAUCAGGCAGGAUUACCCGCUGAACUUAA
rnacentral:misc_RNA from 1 species